AUAGAUCACACUUGGCUCCCUUUCUUAGAGUAAACAUGCCACGCUCACACCUUUUUACUAUUCAUACUUGUAAACUUUUUUUAACUAGAGGAGAAAAAAAGGGAAAAUUAAGAAGUUGGAGAAGAAGGUGAUUUAGUAUUUGUGUAAUGGAAGAUGGGGAUGUAUCAGGUUCUAUACAUGAGAAUAAAGCCACAAAAAUAGUACAAAGAAGUGAAAAUAUUAAUGGUAAUGACAAAAAUGUGGAGAUAUCAGUAGCUACAGUACUAUUUCAUAUCUCAAAUUUCAUACAUUACCCUUCACUUUCUUCUAUCUGAGCUAAAUCCCUUUUUCUCACACUCUCUACAAGUCAAGGUACUCUCUUUUUUUCACAUUUUUAUGUCUUUAUUGUGUUUAUUGAUACAUGAUUUGUUUAGAUUUAGCUACUUUAAUUGGUUUUAUUGAGAUUGUAGGAUUUAUUUGUUUCUAAAAUUUAAGUCGUUACCUUUUUCUUUGCAAUUCAGUAGUUGUUUACCUACUGUAGUGAAUCCAUGAGUAUUAUGAUUUGUUAAUUUUGCUGACUUUUUGAAGUGCUUGUACCUAGAGCUGAGUAUAUUGUACUUCAAUACAAUAAUUGUGUUAAAGAAUUGAUGGUUACUCCCCUCAAUUCAGCAAUAUUAAGUCAUUGGAAAUUGUUAAAAUUGUACAGAUAAUAAGGAGUGGAUUUAGUAACUUUUGCUAUACAUGUUAAAAAUUCCUUUAAAUAAGUGCUCNNNNNNNNNNNNNNNNNNNNNNCGGCUGAAAUGGUAUGAUGGGAUGCCCUCAAAAGCUUGAUGAUGUUAUGUACGUACAGACCUAUGCAUUACAUGACAUUUAUACGCAUAUACAUGACACUAUAGAUAUUUCAUGAUUUUGAUUUACAGAGCUAUCCAGACUUACAGGUUGAGUCUUUUGCUCCAUGUUUCUCCCAUGUUCUUUAUAUACUGAUUUACAUGUCUUACAUACUCAGUACAUUAUUCGUACUGAUGUUCUUUUGUUGGGGACGUUGUAUUCAUGCAUGUAGAUAUAGAUAAUCAGUUUGACGAGUCCUCAUAAGUAGACGAGAUUGGCUUCAGCAAAGGAUCGGUAAGACUCCACCUCAUCCGGAGUGCACCCGAGUCUAUGAGUCAUCGUGUCAGAAGUUUUCUAUAGACUUAUGGGUAGGCCUGUAUCCUAUCCCAUUUAAUGUCAAAUAAUCUUAGAGGCUUUGUAGACAGAGGUUCAUUUUGUACAAUAUGUCAGAUGCCUUGACGGCCCAUAUGUAUUCAUAUUUUAAAAAAAAUAGUUCAGUGAUACAGUGUUUUCCCACUUACAGUUGUACCUUGUGAGUUGUGGCCAUGUGGGCCCUUGAUAGUUAUGAAAGGAAUGAG
rnacentral:lncRNA from 1 species